rnacentral:lncRNA from 1 species
GAGUUUUAGUGAUGUGCAGAACAGAGGAGGAAGAUGCAAGCCCCGAGGCUUGGCACCCCAGCUGCCUGAGCCAAGUCCUCAGGCAGUGAGGGAGAUAUAGAGCCAACAUGACAGAUACCCAGACUUCAGAGAGGGAAAACAGCAUGGUCAAAAUGACAACUGAGAAUACGGUGGCCAGCCUUGGUCAGAAUAGUGCUGACCUGUGCAGAG